GAUGAACGCUAGCGGGAGGCUUAACACAUGCAAGUCGAGGGCAUCACGAGGUAGCAAUACUUUGGUGGCGACCGGCGCACGGGUGAGUAACACGUAUGCAACCUACCCUGUACAGGGGGAUAACCCGGAGAAAUUCGGACUAAUAUCCCAUGCAAUUAUUGGAGGGCAUCCUUUGAUAAUUAAAGCUCAGGCGGUAUAGGAUGGGCAUGCGGAACAUUAGCUAGUUGGUAGGGUAACAGCCUACCAAGGCUACGAUGUUUAGGGGACCUGAGAGGGUUAUCCCCCACACUGGUACUGAGACACGGACCAGACUCCUACGGGAGGCAGCAGUGAGGAAUAUUGGUCAAUGGGCGCAAGCCUGAACCAGCCAUCCCGCGUGAAGGAAGAAGGCCCUAUGGGUUGUAAACUUCUUUUCCAGGGGGUGAAUAAUUCCGAUGUAUCGGGAGAUGACGGUACCCUGGGAAUAAGCAUCGGCUAACUCCGUG
rnacentral:rRNA from 1 species